AUUGAACGCUGGCGGCAGGCCUAACACAUGCAAGUCGAGCGGCAGCGGGAAUGUAGCUUGCUACUUUUGCCGGCGAGCGGCGGACGGGUGAGUAAUGCCUGGGAAAUUGCCCAGUCGAGGGGGAUAACAGUUGGAAACGACUGCUAAUACCGCAUAUGCCCUACGGGGGAAAGCAGGGGACCUUCGGGCCUUGCGCGAUUGGAUAUGCCCAGGUGGGAUUAGCUAGUUGGUGAGGUAAUGGCGCACCAAGGCGACGAUCCCUAGCUGGUCUGAGAGGCUGAUCAGCCACGCUGGAACUGGGACACGGGCCAGACUCCUACGGGAGGCAGCAGUGGGGAAUAUUGCACAAUGGGGGAAACCCUGAUGCAGCCAUGCCGCGUGUGUGAAGAAGGCCUUCGGGUUGUAAAGCACUUUCAGCGAGGAGGAAAGGUUGAUGCCUAAUACGUAUCAACUGUGACGUUACUCGCAGAAGAAGCACCGGCUAACUCCGUGCCAGCAGCCGCCGUAAAAC
rnacentral:rRNA from 1 species